CACAAUCCAGGUGUGGAAAGCUCUUAGAGACUUACCCAGAAAGACUCAAAGCUGUAAUCGCUGCCAAAGGUGAUUCUAAAGCCCAAAUCAAACAAAAAGCAUUUAGUUUGUUUACGGCGUAAAUGAGCGCGUACACGCUGGAAUUAGAAUGCACGGUAGUAAAUGGGAGAAAACAGACGUGGCGCGAGCUUCAAUGCCGUCAACGGUAUCAUGCGCUUCAAAUUAGAAAGCAAGUCAAUUUUUCUUAGGUGUACGCGAAGCAAUGCUGGUAAAGUGAAUUGUUAUGUCUGGACUUUUAAAAAGUGUCUAUUUUGUGUUUAUAAGUUUAGCUGCCAGUGCCAAUAAUACAUAUUUAAAAACAAUAAUGUUUUGCCUACCUUUGUUGAUUUUGAGCACAGGCAUAUGGCCUAUGCAGGCCACGGCUGGGAACUCACAGAACUCUGUUCGAGAGAAUACUGUUAUGUAGAAAGAAUGAGACUAGCUAAAUGAUUUAUUAACUGCUAGGGUGUAUUAGCUACAACUCUCCUCAUGUUUGUGAGCCGACGUAACAGGAGGCAGGUACAGGGCUCCCAUAGGACAUACAGUAUAAGGUGAGUCAAAAGGAACACACAACAAUAGUUCACAAAGCGAACAUAACAUAUGACAACAGUUUAUUAUGGAUUCUCAUGACCAUUAAGUUGGCAUACACUAGGCAGUGUAAUGUGAAUUGACUCUCUCUACUCUCGCACGCAAAUUUUGACGCCAUUGACGACGUCUGUCUGUGUGGUUUCGGCUUAACAUGUUUUCAUUCAGGGGGUUGAAUACUUAUAUAAUCAAGAUAUAUUAGUGUUUUAUUUUUCAUGAAUUUCAAAAAAUGUUUUAGAAUAUUUCUUUCACUUUUACAGAGUAUUGUGUGUAGAUCGUUGACAAAAAAUGACAAUUAAAUCCAUUUUAAUCCCACUUUGUAGCACCACAAAAUGUGAAAAAAGUCAAGGGGUGUGAAUACCUUCUGAAGGCCCUGUAUUUAAUGGGCUAAUGUGUAACAUAUUUGUAUGUUUUGAUAGAAGUAGUUGAUUUUGUGUAAUGUAUUUAAUGCUUUGAUGGUCUUAAUGGAAAAUUCCACCCCAAAAUUAUCUUUUGAUAUUUGUUUCAUUUGUCGAUUGUUGACAUAGUCCCAAAAUGUUUUGCUUGUCAGCACUCAAGUUUUCAAGAUAUGUAACUUUCAAAAUACAGAAAUCAUCCCCUGUAUAAUGCCAUUUUGCAUCAUAUGAUGCAAGCUAUUUUCAUGUGCUGUGUGUGAAAGCAGAAAUGUAAGGUUUUUGUUGAAGAUAGCUAUAUCAGUGCCUGAAUAAAACCUUUCUUCUGUAGGCCUACUGUGUGCGGCAUUGUUUCCUCUCAGGUAUCUAGCUAAUUUAUCUUAGCUAGCUAUCUAUCUAGCCAAACGUUAGAUUUUACUUAGCUAGGAGUAUUCCCUCUCUCUGAGUUAAUGUAGCCCUGUCCUGUAGUCAAAUUACCAAAUCACCCUCUAGUGGCCUCAUGGGUGCAAUAUUAUUAAUAUUUUUCAUAAUUUCAUAAUUAAUAAACAUUGGGUUUUCUUAACUGCCAAAAAUCUGGUGUUUCUAUGUCAAAUGGUUCUGUUAAAUUUCAGUCUUAUAUGAUGUAGAUCAAGUAUAGUAUUGGUAUGCAAACUUAAAAUUAAAUACAUUUAAAUUCUACAUCUGACAUGUUGCAGGUCUCUUCUUUUUUAAGCCCAUACCCAUGUGUGUAAGGUGUAUACUUUUGUUCAAAGUAGAUUUGUACCAAGAAUUCUGUGUGUGCCCAUUGCAGUAAAAUGAACAUGGUUGGUAGCUACAGUAGUUGUCAAGCUUAUAAUUCAUGCUUUUAUGGUGGUUCAGUUACUGUAUGGUUUUUAGCCUAAUUAUUUCCAUGAGUUAGCUAGCUAGCUAGUCUGUCUGGAUGCAGGCACAGUUACUUUAACGAUAAGUGGAUAUAGCUAGCUAGCUACAUAUUGAAUUGAAAGUAGUGUCUCAAUUGUUCAGCCAAGUUUAAACUAUCCAAUUAGACUCUCCACUUAAAUGUUGUCAUGUCUUUGUCCCCCAGAUACUAAAGGCGGCAUGGCCCUGAGAGUACUUAUCCCACCACCAGUGUACAGAGUGCAGGCAGCUACAUAUGGAAAUUAAAGUAGUAUCUCACAUGUUUAUCCACGUUUGUCCAUUUUGACUGCCCCCUAAAAUCUUGUUACGUCUGUAUUCCCCAGAUACAGAUACUAAAGACGUGUGUGACAAGUUGGAAAGAAGACUACCUGCCCAAGCAUUGAUGAUUCCCGAAAGUCAUACUGUUGUUACAAAUAUGGCUGAAUAACUCUGCCAGGCGACCAAAAGAACAAGAGACCUGAACCCUUCAUUGUGACUCUCGGGGACAAAUCACCUCUACUCUCUGGCAUUCACCAUCAUGAAUGGACAGGCUCUGGAGCAGAAGACAUUAUGUUUCCUUGUUGUUGUUGUUGUUUGACAUAAAAUCAUGUUGAAAAUGUAUACCUGGUAGGAGCUGUGGGGUGGUGACUUUUCUUCAGCCCCAUUCCUCAACUUUAAUUGGUAGGGCUGCUGAGAUAUUCAAAUGAUGGAUUGUGCUUCUAAAAUGUUGGUUGAUUUGUGUGUUCCUUAUUUGUUUUUUUUAAAUAUUUUGCCUGACUUCAUUUUGUAGUUGAAAUUAAGAGCUGAAAAAUAAACAUUUGUGUGGUAACGUUGUAA